rnacentral:siRNA from 1 species
GAGAAUCUUGUUUGCUGAGCGUC